ACUUUACCAACUAACAACACUGCUGAAGGCACAUUAUGUUCACAUUAAAUAAGUGAGGAAGAAAGAUUUCGAAAGGGACUGAAGAGCAAAUCUGAACUGAAAAGACCUUGCGUUUGUGAUUUGUGAAAUAAGGGACAAGUACUCCUCCACAUCGUCUGGGGAUCCCACCACAAAAGGCAACCUCUGGUGCAGUGACUCGGGAAUAACAUCCAGGACGCGCUGGGUGCCUGUCGUGGCGAUGCCCCCGGCCUGCUCGAUCAGGAAGGCUAUGGGGUUACACUCGUACAACAGCCUCAGCUGGAGAGAAUAAAACAAAUGGCAAAGAUGGUGCCUAUGGGGGCCAAACAGUCAAUGUUGGAGGAGCCAUCCAGAGGAUCGAAACAGACUAUAUACUUCCCCUAUGACAAACAUCACAUUCAACUGAGUAUGCAGCUGAAACCUCAUAUGAAACCAUCAGACAGGAACCAUAAGAAGCCCGCAACAUAUUGAUGAUCAGAUCAUUGGAAAGCACAUCCAGCUUCUUCUGCUCAUCACCUGUGACAUUCACCUGUCCCGCAAUGCCUUGACUGUGUUCAGUGAAACCAGAACACACUAUUAUUAUUAAAAAGCAGCUACUGAGGUUAAAAUGCAAAAACAGUGAUAAAACGGUGUACUGGAAAAAAAAAUCACUCAGAAAUUGCUAUUAAAAUUGACAAGUAAAUAAAGAAAUAGUAAGCAGAAAGACUGAAAUAAUAUUUUCUACUCCGACGAUAUUUGUUUUAUAAAAUUAUUAAAUAUUUACUUGAAUACUUAAAUAUUUUUUAAAGUGUGAUAUUUCCUUAUUCUUAAAUAACACUGCCAUACGAAUCAGUGAUUAGUGAAUUAGAAAUUAGCAGCUUUAAAUGUAAUGAAUAAUUUCUAUUUUUUUAGAUGAUAAUAUAUUAAUAGUAUUUCUUUACAAAGACAACUACAUUACUAACUUAAAGGUUUUAUUGCUUAACUAACCAUACUAGAACUGUAACUUUAAUGAUGAUUGUCUCAAAAACCAUAACUAUGUCUAUUUUAUCUCUCAUUUGAUCAUUAGCUGAACUGAAAGAACUUUCGCCUGCUUCUAUUUCAUACAGUCACAGCAUGUUUUAACAACACAGUUAGAGUAAAACAUAUCCAUUCACAUAAUGCAAAAUAGUUUAAUGAAACUUACAGGUGAACGAGUCCGGCUUUCCUGACAGCAGAUGAAAUAGCUUUAAUAGCUGUUAACAUGGAGUUAAUGAGCUGUGUGAGUUCUCCGGUGGCCCCCUUCGCCUGCCGCCCCAUCUCCAUGACAAAACGUGUGAGGGUCCAUACGUCCACAUCAAAGACCGACUGAUCCGACAUCUUCACGGUGUCCGAGUGUACAAGCAGUAGGAAAGGCAGAGACUAACUGUAGAGCCACUAGGCAGUCUUUUUACACACACAGUGAGUAGAUGAAGGCCAAGGUUAUAUUGGUGAAGCAGAUCAAGUGACACAAAUGACAGUAGAGCAGUCUGAAUGCUUGUAGAGCCAGAGCUUGAAGGGCCCAACUUAUAAAGCAUGCUCCUUGGCUCUCUCCUAAUUAUUUAUGUCCACUAUUGACACGUCACAUAUUCUCAGGAGUCACAAGGUCAUGAAGCAAACCUCACAAUUGUUUAUGGCAAUCAUGUCCCAAUGAAUACUGGAGGUCUGUUAAAUGGAUCUCAUUAAUAAUAUUGUAUAUUUAUUUAUAUGUAAAUGUGUCCCUUAUAACUCAAAAUCAAACCUGUUAGCGUGACUAAACACAUCAAACAUGUUUUAAGAAAAUGAAUAUACAGCAUACUGCUCAUGCAUUAUAUUUGAUUCACAGCACUGAAAAGUGCACUUAACAUGCUUUCUGAGAACUCCAUUUAAAUUGUAAUCCUCAACAAGCAGUAUUUAUGCAAUACAUUUAAGCACUGGUAUAGAUGUCGCUCUCCAGAUUCAACAGAUUUGACAGGUUGGCUGACGCGUUUCCAAACAAGCACUCAAUCUAUUGCCUCUUUUGCCUUAAAUGUGAGUGCCUCCUCUGCUACAGAGCCCAAAAUAAUAAACUUUAUUAGGAUCAGAACCUUCCAGACAACAUUUCACUCACAGAAGAAAAGCAGAGGACUCCAACAGAGGAGAGGUCACUGAACACAGGGAAGCAUUUCUAUGACCAUUUCUAUACUCAAACUGAACAUAGUAUGUUUACUGUACUAUGCUACAAAUAAUUAUCAUAAGAUUAUUAUUUUUUUUUACUUUAAAUCAGCAUAUUAUUUAUAAUCAGAUAUGCAUGCACAUAUUUUGACCAAGGUCAUGUAGCAACACCCCAAAAUGUGUCUCAAAUAUCAGCAGGGCUCAAUGUGCCUACUGGCCUUUACAGAAAAGGUCAUCUGCUUUCAUUUGGUGCCUUGAACUUUUUGUACAGUAUGUCCUGUAUUAAAAUCUCUGUUUAUAUAGGAAAAUAUUACAGUGUGAUGAAGGAACUAUAGCAUUUUUCAUUCACAAAUGCUGUGUUCUCAGAGGGUUACUGAAAUGUGCACACUGUAAAGAAAUUCAAAAGUUGUAAUGUUGAGUGUUUGGAUAUUAUAAAUCAUAAAUCAAAACAUCUUCAUAAAGUAUGAGUUGGUAACAGAGCACAAACAUAUCUCAGAAAGGCUCUGGAUUUUUCAAGAACUUUAAUCACAGCUUCCUUCAAUAGGGUGCAAUAAGGCACAAGUGAUUAUUUGGUCUGUACAUACAGAAACAAGAUCAACUUUAAUUCAAAUCAUCCUCAUUGCUGCCAUAAACUUGUUUCUGUCUUUUUGGCCAACAACAAUUUCAGCUGCCGAUGUGGAAAACAGUGUGUUUCUCUAAAAACAGCCUCAACUAAAUGUUAAUGUUCUAAAGUUUAAAUGUAAAAAAAUCACCGUCUUCAAAAAUUCUUCUUAUAUUUCUUCAUGGAGGCAUACAGUGUAUAAAAACAUUUGGUUUUAGGGGUAGUGAUUUGAUAUAGAGGUAUUUUGAAAGUAAGAAUAAACUUAUUUUGGAGUGUCAAGUAUAAAUAUCUUCAUGAUUCUUUGAGUCUUUGUUGUACAUUCUGACUAUUGCUCUUCAUUUGUGAUGUUUCUGAAAGAUGGAGAUGUACUCUUGGACAUCAUCAGGGGAACCCAUCACCACAGGUACCCGCUGAUGGAGGCUCUCGGGCUGGAUGUCCAGGAUGUUGGUGGUUCCUGUGGUGGCCAUCCCUCCGGCCUGUUCCAUGAUGAAGGCCAUGGGGUUGCACUCAUAGAGCAGUCUGAGCUGAAAGGGGAAGAACACACACGAAGUUUAAUAACCCUCUACCAGCCUCCUGCUAUAUAUUCAAGGACAUUUAGUUAGGCGCUACAGCUCCCUCUACAGGCCUUUUUGUGCAUGUGACGAUCAAAUCACACUUUUUUUUUGAGUAUAAAGUUAAAAGCUUUCUCAGCAAGGUAUUUAAAUUAUGAUAUUGUGAAAUGAUAGCAUGGCACAAUAGUUAUUACACAAGUAUCAACAGAUCAGUUUUCAGCUCAGGUCUUACGGGUAAGAGGGAGUAAACACUGACACACCUGUAGAUGUGACACCAAACAAAAGAACUGGAGCAAAGGUCAUACAUAUAUUUUCACUUCAUUCAUGUAUUUCUUUGAAUAGUACAGUGUCCCAUAGUGGAUCAUGUGACAAACUACACCUGUGGUUAUAACUCUGUGGUUACUUCCAAUUAGUUAAAACCAAUUGCAAAAUGGCUCAGAAAAGUGAAGUUAAUUCUGGUCUAGCAUUCGUUAGCAGCAGGUGCCACCAUUUAUUUAUCUAAUGCAUUCAGACAUUUUUAAAAGUGUCCAAAUACUUCUUUGGGCUGCUGAAUAAGACUUUUAUCAAGCAACAACUAAGACCUGAGUAACAAUUUUAUGCGAAUAUAAUAAUAAUAAUAAACUAUUAGGACAGGCUGUUAGUUGUUAUGCUGUCCAUUAACAGUCCAUUUAUUGGCAUUCAUGUAAGCAAAGUCAUGUUUAGACAAAGUACCUUUCCUUUGGGGCUCUUCACAUUUGCUGGGUAGAGGAAGAUUCCUCCGUAAACAAGCGUCCGAUGCACAUCUGCCACCAUUGAACCUACAUAACGGGCUCCUUAGGGUGCACUGCCAUCCUGAACACAUUUUAAUAGUCAAUAGUAUCUGGAUAUUAUAAUAUUUAUGAAUUAUAUAUUAUUAAUAUUUAUUUUUCUGAUGUAUUAUGUUUUUGAUUAUGCAAAUGUGAUUGGGGUCUGUUUAAAAUGUGUGCGUUUGUGCAGCUUUUAUAAUGAUUUGAUUUGUUUUAAGUGAAAAAGUGUAUUUAAUUGCAUACUGAACCUCCGGAAACUUUUUCUUCUGCAGGUACUCUGUGACAGCAGGAUCAAAAUAAAGGGCAUAACCUUCA